UUCUUUUUUUUUUUUUUUUUUUUUUUUUUUUUUUAAAGAUUUAUUUAUUUAUUUAUUAUAUGUAAGUACACUGUAGCUGUCUUCAGACACUCCAGAAGAGGGAGUCAGAUCUCAUUAUGGGUGGUUGUAAGCCACCAUGUGGUUGCUGGGAUUUGAACUUCGAACCUUCGGAAGAGCAGUCGGGUGCUCUUACCCACUGAGCCAUCUCACCAGCCCACUACUUCUCUUCAAAUUAAACAUUUCCAUGUGUGUCAGCCUCUCUCCCUGGAAGAUGUGGAUCCAAGGGCUAGGAGAAGCCUGGCAAGGUUGACCAGAUGGCUCACUCCUACUGAAGACAUCUAUUUCCAAACCAGGUGCCCUGCAGUUCCCUGUGAGCUGUGGUUCCUUGCACCCACCUAUGCUCCCCAAACUAUUAGAAAUUGGUAGCUAUCACCAGAUUGUGAAUUUCUGGCCAGUAGCUCAGGGAAUUGGAAUGAAUCCUAAACCCAGGUCUACUGAAGACUUUGGGGACAUAAUUCUUUAUCAAAUAUACAGCAUUAAUGAAGCUUCUCUGUACUAUUUGAUUAACUUGUAGACUUUUGAGAAGCUUGCCAGAGUGUGUCCCUCAGCCAGGUGUAGUGGCACACAUCUUUAAUCCCAGCACAUAGGCGGCAGAGGCAAGUGGUUGUAUUUCUGAGUUCCAAGCCAGCCUGGUCUACAGAGUGAGUUCUAGGCUAGCCAGGGCUACUCAGAGAAACCUUGUCUCCAAAAAACCAAAUAAAAAAUAAAAUAAAAUAUGGCCUCUGGGUUGGGUUAACACAGUCUAGCUUUGUAACAAUGUGAGACUCUUGGUUCUUAGUGUUCUAUACCCUCUGGUUCUGGGCGUUGUCUCCCACCUGUUCUUCUAAAGCAGGAUAUUGGGAUAUUUUCCAGAGGGGCCAUCCUUACACGAUGUUGGGACUGUCUGAACUGUCGCUAUUUGUAGCCUGGUGAUAUCCCCUUCUUCCCCAGGGCACAGAAAAGCCAAGGGUCAUAUGGCCAGGGCCAACAGCUCCACUAAAGUGACCCACCACUUUUCUAGAAAGCCCGAGACCUCUCCCUUGUUGACCAGAGGGCCUGCUUCUCAUGGGCACUUCAAAUGCCACUGUGCGGGGCCUGGCUCUGCAUACCUAGGAAAAGUCUGCAGACACCCAGCCCUCCGCAAUAAUUCACCAGACCAGAAGCCACUGAUGUACAGAGAACACUU
rnacentral:lncRNA from 1 species